rnacentral:rRNA from 1 species
CCUACGGGAGGCAGCAGUAGGGAAUAUUGCUCAAUGGGGGAAACCCUGAAGCAGCAACGCCGCGUGGAGGAUGAAGGUUUUCGGAUUGUAAACUCCUUUUGUUAGAGAAGAUAAUGACGGUAUCUAACGAAUAAGCACCGGCCAAAUCCGUUACAGCACCCGCGGUAAUAUGGCGGGGGCAGGCGUUACUCGGAAUCACUGGGCGUAAAGAGGGCGUAGGCGGGUUAGCAAGUCAGAUGUGAAAGCCUAUGGCUGAACCAUAGAACUGCAUUUGAAACUGGUAUUCUAGAGUAUGUGAGAGGUAGGUGGAAUUCGUGGUGUAGGGGUAAAAUCCGUAGAGAUCAAGCGGAAUACUCAUUGCGAAGGCGACCUGCUAGAACAUAACUGACGCUGAUGCGCGAAAGCGUGGGGAGCGAACAGGAUUAGAUACCCCAGUAGUC